rnacentral:rRNA from 1 species
GACGUAGGGCGCGAGCGUUGUCCGGAGUUAUUGGGCGUAAAGAGCUCGUAGGCGGUUUGUCGCGUCUGCUGUGAAAACCUAAGGCUCAACCUUGGGCUUGCAGUGGGUACGGGCAGACUAGAGUGCGGUAGGGGUGACUGGAAUUCCUGGUGUAGCGGUGGAAUGCGCAGAUAUCAGGAGGAACACCGAUGGCGAAGGCAGGUCUCUGGGCCACUACUGACGCUGAGAAGCGGAAAGCAUGGGGAGCGAACAGG